AGGUACCACGCGCGCACUCCGCCUCCUCCGCGUCGUCUUCCCCUACCUGGCAACGGCUCGCCAGGUGUCGUUCGCC
rnacentral:sRNA from 1 species